GACGAACGCUGGCGGCGUGCCUAAUACAUGCAAGUCGAGCGGAUCUUCAUUAGCUUGCUUUUGAAGAUCAGCGGCGGACGGGUGAGUAACACGUGGGCAACCUGCCUGUAAGACUGGGAUAACUUCGGAAGACCGGAGCUAAUACCGGAUAAUCCUUUUCCUCUCAUGAGGAAAAGCUGAAAGACGGUUUCGGCUGUCACUUACAGAUGGGCCCGCGGCGCAUUAGCUAGUUGGUGAGGUAACGGCUCACCAAGGCGACGAUGCGUAGCCGACCUGAGAGGGUGAUCGGCCACACUGGGACUGAGACACGGCCCAGACUCCUACGGGAGGCAGCAGUAGGGAAUCUUCCGCAAUGGACGAAAGUCUGACAGAGCAACGCCGCGUGAGCGAUGAAGGCCUUCGGGUCGUAAAGCUCUGUUGUCAGGGAAGAACAAGUACCGGAGUAACUGCCGGUACCUUGACGGUACCUGACCAGAAAGCCACGGCUAACUACGUGCCAGCAGCCGCCGUAACAC
rnacentral:rRNA from 1 species